GAUGAACGCUGGCGGCGUGCCUAAUACAUGCAAGUCGAGCGAACAGAUGAGGAGCUUGCUCCUCUGACGUUAGCGGCGGACGGGUGAGUAACACGUGGAUAACCUACCUAUAAGACUGGGAUAACUUCGGGAAACCGGAGCUAAUACCGGAUAAUAUAUUGAACCGCAUGGUUCAAUAGUGAAAGACGGUUUUGCUGUCACUUAUAGAUGGAUCCGCGCCGCAUUAGCUAGUUGGUAAGGUAACGGCUUACCAAGGCAACGAUGCGUAGCCGACCUGAGAGGGUGAUCGGCCACCCUGGAACUGAGACACGCUCCAGACUACUACGGGAGGCAGCAGUCGGGAAUCGUCCGCAAUGGGCGAAAGCCUGACGGAGCAACGCCGCGUGAGUGAUGACGGUCUUCGGAUCGUAAAACUCUGUUACUAGGGAAGAACAAAUGUGUAAGUAACUAUGCACGUCUUGACGGUACCUAAUAAGAAAGCCACGGCUAACUACGUG
rnacentral:rRNA from 1 species